AAGUGAAAAACCGCUGUCAACUGCUUCCGUAGUUCCAUACAUUGCAUCUUGGUUAAACCCUCGUAGCUCGCACUCUCAAACUGAUGCAGAAGAGCGGCUUCACUCUUCUACAAACAGUCGCCACUGCCGGCGUCUUCUCCGCCGUGUCUUUCUGGUAUGGAUUUAUGUUCGGCAGAGAGUCUUCUCGCAAGGAGCUCCAAGGCCUGAUCGAAACUCUUCGCCAGAGCAAUUGCGAUUCCGAUUCUUCACAUCCUCCACAUUCCUGACCUCGGUUCAAACGCGAAAGGGUUCUCUCCAUAAACAGCAAAGUAGUCUAGUUGCAAGUCUAAAUCCCAAUCAAGACAAUUUUCAAGCAUCUUUCUGGAUAAUGUUCCUUGAAAACGUAUGAUUUAUGACACUUGAGGAUUUUCAUUGUGGAAGCUCUGGGUUCAAAAUGUGAUUUGGUGACCGUGUUUUUAAGUGUUUUGUACUUGAAUCUUACAUGCUUCGUGUGUAAUGGACUAAUGGUGGAGUUAUAAACACCGGGAAAUUUUAUUCAUGUUGAUACACUAGUUGCGUCUUGAAGAUUAGGAAAGACAAAGGCAGUAGUACUAGAUUGUUUACAUGAUUCAACCAUUUUCUC